GCCCAUGUGGUAUGGUGGCGGUAUUGGAAACAACCGUAACACUUCUGUAAGUGUAGGACACCUUAGCCUCAUGGGUUU
rfam:Flavobacterium sp. ov086 genome assembly, contig: Ga0070134_114